GGGCUAUUAGCUCAGUUGGUUAGAGUACACCCCUGAUAAGGGUGGGGUCGGGUGUUCGAGUCUCCCAUAGCCCA
rnacentral:tRNA from 1 species